rnacentral:rRNA from 1 species
AUUGAACGCUGGCGGCAGGCCUAACACAUGCAAGUCGAACGAGUGGCGGACGGGUGAGUAGUUUCUGGGAAACUGCCUGAUGGAGGGGGAUAAGUGCUGGAAACGGUAGCUAAUAGCGCAUAACGUCGGAUGUGGCCAGAUGGGAGUAGCUAGUAGGUGGGGUAACGGCUCACCUAGGCGACGAUCCCUAGCUGGUCUGAGAGGAUGACCAGCCACACGGGAACUGAGACACGGUCCAGACUCCUACGGGAGGCAGCAGUGGGGAAUAUUGCACAAUGGGCGCAAGCCUGAUCGAGCCAUGCCGCGUGUGUGAAGAAGGUCUUCGGAUUGUAAAGCACUUUAAGUUGGGAGGCGUUACCAACAGAAUAAGCACCGGCUAACUUCGUGCCAGCAGCCGCGGUAAUAC